rnacentral:lncRNA from 1 species
GCUCGCCGCCCAGGCUCCCGCGCUCGCCUCGCGGUCCCCCCACCGGCUCGCCGCACCUCGGCUGGGAGCUGAGGACUCGCCGCCAGGCACCCCCGGCCCGCCCACUUCGCCUCCUCCAUUGGCUGAACCUCGGUUGAGGGACCGCCCCUCCGCGACUCUCAUUUGACUAAAGGAGUGCGGGGAGCGCCGGUCUGGAGCUGGCAAAGGGGCCCCGCCCCCUGAGGUCUAAUGCGAUUGGUCCCGGCCCCUCGUCCCCGUAACGCCCCUGGCGGAGGCCACGCUCUCGAGUAGCUGGUUGGACCCGGCUGCUGUCACUCAUCCUCGGGGGUCCGAAAGCGCGUGUAGAGGCGAGGCUGGGGAAUUGGCCCACCUUGACCCUCAAGCCCCGCCCCGUCGCGGGCGGGAUUGGUGGAGCUGCAAACCAACCGAGAAAGAUGGGUCGGCGUCUGAAACAAAGCACGCGAAGUGUUCCCUGAAGAACCGAGAAGAGGAAGCGCCGUUGGGGCAGCUUGGAUCCCGCUGCACGGAGUAAGGGAGUCAGUCCGUGGCGGCGCGUCCGGGUUUCCCACUUGUCUCGCCCGCUCACAGCGGCUUUCUGCAGGAGCCCAGUCGGCGCCGAACUUGGACUGGGACUUCUCUUGCUAGCUGUUUCCUCCAGCUGGAAACUGGAUAAAGAAUUGCUGCGUCUUCAUUUCCAGCAAAUCCUCUGGUGAAGAACAAAUUCCCGUUUUUUGUACAACAGUCCAUCCUCUCCCCGAUUUCGAAAUGCACUUCUUUUUCAGAAUCAACACACUUCUUGUCCCUUCAUCAGAAAUGGGCUGUUCUAAAGGCUUCGAAUGCUGCAGGCAUUGUCCGUCAUACAAACAUCUGUACGCCUCAGACUGCAUACAGGAAACCCAGUGCCAUGCUCUGAGAUUGGGGCUCAGACUGACACGUCGGCAAACCUAGGGGUCGGGUCACCAGCCCUCGAAGUUGUCGACAACGAAGCCACAUGUAAUACCGCUUGCCUGUAUCCCAAGGCCCUGCCCCAGCCGUCAGCAAGAGCAUUAUACAGAUCCUGCCUCAGAGAAUGGAUGACACCACAAACAACUGGUAACAAAACAUCAGUCGUUUUGGUUUUAGAUUUCUGCAACCAAGACUUUUGUUUCAGGGUUCUGAAAUUUAGGUUUCAAACCUGGGCGUAA